UAAGCCAAGGAUGACUUGCCU
rnacentral:miRNA from 1 species